rnacentral:rRNA from 1 species
GAUGAACGCUGGCGGCGUGCCUAAUACAUGCAAGUAGAACGCAGAAGGAGGAGAUUGCUCUUUCCGGCUGAGUCGCGAACGGGUGAGUAACGCGUAGGUAACCUGCCUGGUAGCGGGGGAUAACCAUCGGAAACGAUAGCUAAUACCGCAUAACAGUAGAUAUUCCAUGAUAUUUGUUUGAAAGGGGCCAUUGCCCCACUACUAGAUGGACAUGCGUUGUAUUAGCUAGUUGGUGAGGUAACGGCUCACAAAAGCGAAGGUACAUAGCCGACCUGAGAGGGUGAACAGCCCCACUGGGACUGAGACACGGCCCAUACUCCUACAGGAGGGAGCAGUAGGGAAACUUCAGCGAUGGGGGGAAGUAUGGCCGGGCAACGCCGGGUGAAUGAAGAAGGUUUUCGGAACGUAAAAAUCUGUUGUAAGGGAAGAACGAGUGUGGGAGUAAAAUGUUCACACUGUGACGGUAUCUUACCAGAAAGGGACGGCUAACUACGUG